rnacentral:lncRNA from 1 species
UUGCUCUUCAGGUAUGCAUGGAAGCAAAUCCUCAACUCAGAAAACCUUGAGUAUGAAAAAAUGAUGUUUCCUUUGCUGCAAUUUUAAAGUGAGUUAGAAAGAUCCAGUCUUAUAAGCAAAUAAUAUCUGUGCUAGAAUUCAGCUGACCUCUGGGGUCCUCAGCUCUGCAGUGCUGAUGGGACGAUACUGCRUGGGAAGUGCCCCUGAAUUUAGGUGCUCAUCAAACUGAGGCCGCCAGCCACUGUUUGCUUAUGAGCCUGUCGUGUUCGACACAGCCCCCCGGAAAGUAACCUACUGUAGGAGAGAACUGUUCUCCAAUCCUAAUUGGCUCUCUGAGGAACUCGGGCUGAACGUCCCCAGAAGAAGGUGGAACCGAUAGUGACUUGUGCCAGUGCAGCUCUUCUAGUACAAGGCUGCAGUGGGCGGGAGUGGUUGGUCCUACCGCUGCCUCCACCAGGCCCCGUCCCUGCUGCCACCUCUCCAGGAGAUGUGUCACCAYCUGCAUGUCAUUCGACUCCUUGCCUGUUGCCAAAGGGCUGGCAUAGAGAGCUGCCUGCCUCGGGAUGGGCGUAGGCAGCAGCACAACGUGGAGCUGGAUUGCACCAGCAAGGCGCUUGCCGGGACAAGCAGGCAGCCCUGCCUCCCUUGGCAGACGGCUCAAGCGCUCGGAGGCGGGAGGAAAACCAAAGCCUAUCCUUGGGACUGGGUGAGAAAGUCAGUCAAGGAGGGAGAGCAAAAACAUGGAAGAAAAAAAGAUUGGUGGGACACUGGACUCUGGUAGACUUGAUUCAUUCUUGGUUUUCUCAUGUUGCAGGAGAGGCAAUUGCAGCAAACAUCCGAGCAAACAGUCCUUUCAGCGGCAGAUGGUAUCCCUCCACACGCACGCAAAACGUCUCCAACCCUCCGGGAGCAGCAUGUGCCUUCAACUCUUUCCUGUGUAACAUAACCUAUAGGGCACGCGUUGCAACCUUACAUCUGCUCCUUUUAGCCUAUGUUCCUGUAUCUCUCUAGGAAUUAGACUAUGCUCUCAGUGUUCAUCUUAUGGAAAUUUGGGAUCCCCAGGUGUGAAGUUAGCCGGGGUUAGCCUGAAAAAGGCAUACUGGAGGUAAUAAGGGGCAGAGGGAGAGUGCGAUGGGGCAAUAUGUGGGUGGCUGACUUGCUUGUUUUUAUGGAUUUAUUCCAAGCUGUGAAUGUGCAGCAACCUCAACUGUUUGCAGUAUAUGUUCUAUAUUAAUUUUGUUGUGUUAAGAUUGAAAAAUUAUGUGAAGUAAGAGGAGCAGCUUCCCACAAGUCCUCUGCAGUACUGGAGAGGGCUUUGGUUAAAAGCUGUGUCCGACAAGGAAAUUUUAGUCAUUAGGACAGGCUGGCAUGUUAACUGCUACUCAAGAGCCGAAGAAAACCCCAAGCUCAAAAUUCAGCUCAUUCCUCCCUGAAAAUAAGUCAUGCCCCAUAUUACAUAGCUGGACAGCUGUUUGCCAGCAGUGAAGUGUUAGUGACUGCUGUGGAAAUUUUGGCUAGAUUACUUUCAAAAGGGUUUUCCUGUUAACUUCAUAAACAAAGAAAGGACAGCACAGAAGAGCAGAAAAGCAUGAAAAACUUGACUGUGUAAAAUUUCACAUCAAUAGGCUACCUACUAUUUAAGAAAACCAGGAAUUUGUGCCCAUUUUAAGUGCAUAAUGGUGUGCAACCCACUUUCUUGGGUCAUGAGCAAAAAUCAUCCUAGUCAUAGGUCUUGGCAUUCUUUUUAUCCUUCCCACUGUUUCUCAGGUGAUGUUCUUGUUCUCCUCUCUGCUUUAGACAUACUGUCAGUGUUGAGGGUGCUCUGUGCCUUGUGCAAUCUUUCUGCCCUAGAGACGAAUCUCAACGCAACUGAUGGGGAGGAUUUGCUGGAAGUACGUUGCCUGAACUUGCAACGGGCUCUCCACAAACACCUCUCUUCCGACUUCAAUUGGUGUUAUGAUUGAGGGAGAUUUGAACCGUAAUUUACUCAUCACAAGGAAGUGCUGCAUCGUAUAUCUAGGGUAAGGUGUCGAGUAUCAUUCACUCUAGACAACAGUGGGAUUUAGAGUACAAAAUUCAUCCAGCCUUUUAAUUUUGCAUGCCCAUUCCUUAGUUUCCUGUGUUAUGCUGGUAUUUAUUCAGUAGCAUGAACACACAAGGAAAAUAACUGAGGUCUAGGUGCAUAAGAACAGCUGGACCAAGCCUUUCAUUUCCACCUUUAAAAUCUACAGCCUCAAUUUUGCUCAUGCAGUAGACCUUCCUCAGGUGCUGCUGAUGGUAUUGUACCUCUUGUGCAGGGUCUGAUGCAUCUCUGGUGUUAUCCAUUAGGGUAUUUUUCUACAAAGCUGAGGGAAGUCUAGCUCCAAAAGGGAGUUCAGCCUGAACAACUUCAAGUAUUUUAUGUUGACUGGGAAUUCAAAAAGUAAUGAGAUACRGUUAAGAUCUAUCUAAGAGAUUAAAUGAAGUGGAUAAUUUGGAUGGUAGCCCCCUUUCCCCCAUAAAUUCUAUGAUAUUAGAUAUAUCUCAGUAACAAGCAAUUUGUUUUCUACCCAAUGGAAGUCUUGUUUCUGGAAACUUGAUAGUUCCAGGUAUUUCAGCACUACCAUUUAGAUAUUUGUCUCUCCUUACAGGUUUUUGUAUUUAUAUUUAAACAGCAGACAAGCUGUCAGUAAGAUGUGUUUUGUGUGAACGCUGUUUGCAAAAGAAGAUUACGAAAGUAAACAGAAUGAUCAUUUCAGGUUCACCAUUGGGAAGUAUGAACAAAAAAGAGGCUUAACUAGCGAUGAGCCAAUGCAGCRAUAAAGUGCCUAUUUAUUGGUAAAUAAAGGCCGGCUCCCAUUGCCUGUUUCA